CAGCCGUAAACUAUGCGCGUUAGGUGUAUCGGUGACCACGAGUUACCGAGGUGCCGAAGGGAAACCGUGAAACGUGCCGCCUGGGAAGUACGGUCGCAAGGCUGAAACUUAAAGGAAUUGGCGGGGGAGCACCACAACAGGUGGAGCCUGCGGUUUAAUUGGACUCAACGCCGGGAAGCUCACCGGAUAGGACAGCAGAAUGAUUGCCGGGCUGAAGGUUUUACAUGACUAGCUGAGAGGAGGUGCAUGGCGUCAGUGACU
rnacentral:rRNA from 1 species